AGAGUUUGAUCCUGGCUCAGGACGAACGCUGGCGGCGCGCCUAACACAUGCAAGUCGAACGAGAGAGAGGGAGCUUGCUUCCUCAAUCGAGUGGCGAACGGGUGAGUAACGCGUGAGGAACCUGCCUCAAAGAGGGGGACAACAGUUGGAAACGACUGCUAAUACCGCAUAAGCCCACGGCUCGGCAUCGAGCAGAGGGAAAAGGAGCAAUCCGCUUUGAGAUGGCCUCGCGUCCGAUUAGCUAGUUGGUGAGGUAACGGCCCACCAAGGCGACGAUCGGUAGCCGGACUGAGAGGUUGAACGGCCACAUUGGGACUGAGACACGGCCCAGACUCCUACGGGAGGCAGCAGUGGGGGAUAUUGCACAAUGGGGGAAACCCUGAUGCAGCGACGCCGCGUGGAGGAAGAAGGUCUUCGGAUUGUAAACUCCUGUUGUUGAGGAAGAUAAUGACGGUACUCAACAAGGAAGUGACGGCUAACUACGUGCCAGCAGCCGCGGUAAAACGUAGGUCACAAGCGUUGUCCGGAAUUACUGGGUGUAAAGGGAGCGCAGGCGGGAAGACAAGUUGGAAGUGAAAUCUAUGGGCUCAACCCAUAAACUGCUUUCAAAACUGUUUUUCUUGAGUAGUGCAGAGGUAGGCGGAAUUCCCGGUGUAGCGGUGGAAUGCGUAGAUAUCGGGAGGAACACCAGUGGCGAAGGCGGUCUACUGGGCACCAACUGACGCUGAGGCUCGAAAGCAUGGGUAGCAAACAGGAUUAGAUACCCUGGUAGUCCAUGCCGUAAACGAUGAUUACUAGGUGUUGGGGGAUUGACCCCCUCAGUGCCGCAGUUAACACAAUAAGUAAUCCACCUGGGGAGUACGACCGCAAGGUUGAAACUCAAAGGAAUUGACGGGGGCCCGCACAAGCAGUGGAGUAUGUGGUUUAAUUCGA
rnacentral:rRNA from 1 species